UGGGAGCCGGUUGGCCGCUAGAGCGUGAACGUGGCGCGGACAGAUGGGAGCUUGCUCCCUGAUGUUAGCGGCGGACGGGUGAGUAACACGUGGGUAACCUGCCUGUAAGACUGGGAUAACUCCGGGAAACCGGGGCUAAUACCGGAUGCUUGUUUGAACCGCAUGGUUCAAACAUAAAAGGUGGCUUCGGCUACCACUUACAGAUGGACCCGCGGCGCAUUAGCUAGUUGGUGAGGUAACGGCUCACCAAGGCGACGAUGCGUAGCCCACCUGAGAGGGUGAUCGGCCACACUGGGACUGAGACACGGCCCAGACUCCUACGGGAGGCAGCAGUAGGGAAUCUUCCGCAAUGGACGAAAGUCUGACGGAACAACGCCGCGUGAGUGAUGAAGGUUUUCGGAUCGUAAAGCUCUGUUGUUAGGGAAGAACAAGUGCCGUUCAAAUAGGGCGGCACCUUGACGGGACCUAACCAGAAAGCCACGGCUAACUACCUGCCAGCAGCCGCGGUAAUACGUAGGUGGCAAGCGUUGUCCGGAAUUAUUGGGCGUAAAGGGCUCGCAGGCGGUUUCUUAAGUCUGAUGUGAAAGCCUCCGGCUCAACCGGGGAGGGUCAUUGGAAAAUGGGGAACUUGAUGCCUAAAAAGGAGAAUGAGAACUCCCCGUGUAACGGUCAAAAUGCUUAAGG
rnacentral:rRNA from 1 species